GGGGAUGUAGCUCAAAAGUUAGAGCACUUGUCUGGCAUGCAUAAGGCUCUGAGUUCAAUCCUCAGUACUGCAA
rnacentral:tRNA from 1 species